CUGUGAUAUCGUCUUAGUCAGCACCUGCUGAGCUCACUGCACGCCUCAGCACUGUACUGUACUCAGCGCUAGAGCACCCACUGCACACGCCUCAUUAGGUACCGCUUGAAGGUCCUACUCGUUAUAUAGGGAGCCCGGUACUUAGUCCGUCAUUCAUUAACGUACACUCAUUCACUGAGCCCAUCACACUACUGAAGAUGGCCGACUAUUUUCUGUACAGAGUCAAACUUCCCGAGUUUACUCAUUCGUAACGUUAUGAAAACCGUGCGGUUGAUUUUCGACCCAUCGCCACCAGAAGAAGAAUCCUACGUCUUCCGGCUGAGUUAAUCUUCGUAUUUUGGAUGGAGGCCUUCUUCUACACUACGAGAGGUGAACUGGAUCUUCAAUUAUGGAUGAACUUCUCAGAACGACCCCUCUAUCGACAGCUCGAUCUCACCCCCUGUCUUCUCCACGAUCUCAUCUUCAUUACUUCCCAACGUUAGCUGAAUGAUCAGGUUUAAGCUGCUUGUGCAUCAAACUCCAAACAGAGAUCAGAGUUCCUUCAAUGAGUAGCAAUCAAACUAGUUGGGGUUUGUGUAUGCAUCAAUGUAAAAAAUCAAAUGUUAUAUUAAAUUUUGUUAUUUUUAGAUGAAA